UUUCCGUAGGUGAACCUGCGGAAGGAUCAUUAACAAAAAAUAAAAUCCACCUUAGGAAAAACCCAGAGAAGAAAUUCAAAGGGUCUUUCCUUAAGCAAACAGUGAACUUUGUUAAAGUUUCUGACAAGAUAUACCAAUCUAAAUUUAUUUAGAAAGGUAUUUUCUUUUUAAAAACAAACUUGUUUAAUUUAUUUUGUCUUAUCCUUCUUAAACUAAAUUGGUUUUAGGACCUUUUUGGAAAGAAUAUUUAAAUCAAAAGUAACAACUUUUAACAACGGAUAUCUUGGCUCUU
rnacentral:misc_RNA from 1 species